CAGUAGCCGCGGUAAUACAGAGGGUGCGAGCGUUAAUCGGAUUUACUGGGCGUAAAGCGUGCGUAGGCGGCUUUUUAAGUCGGAUGUGAAAUCCCUGAGCUUAACUUAGGAAUUGCAUUCGAUACUGGGAAGCUAGAGUAUGGGAGAGGAUGGUAGAAUUCCAGGUGUAGCGGUGAAAUGCGUAGAGAUCUGGAGGAAUACCGAUGGCGAAGGCAGCCAUCUGGCCUAAUACUGACGCUGAGGUACGAAAGCAUGGGGAGCAAACAGGAUUAGAUACCCCGGUAGUUCCUGUCUCUUAUAA
rnacentral:rRNA from 1 species